CAGAUUUGAUCAUGGCUCAGGAUGAACGCUAGCUACAGGCUUAACACAUGCAAGUCGAGGGGAAACGACAUCGAAAGCUUGCUUUUGAUGGGCGUCGACCGGCGCACGGGUGAGUAACGCGUAUCCAACCUGCCCACCACUUGGGGAUAACCUUGCGAAAGUAAGACUAAUACCCAAUGACGUCUCUAGAAGACAUCUGAAAGAGAUUAAAGAUUUAUCGGUGAUGGAUGGGGAUGCGUCUGAUUAGCUUGGUUGGCGGGGUAACGGCCACCAAGGCGACGAUCAGUAGGGGUUCUGAGAGGAAGGUCCCCCACAUUGGAACUGAGACACGGUCCAAACUCCUACGGGAGGCA
rnacentral:rRNA from 1 species